GGUUCAAUGGUCUAGUGGUUAUGAUUUCUGUCUUACACCGCUCAUGGUGCCCACAGAAGGUCUCCAGUUCGAACCUGGGUUGAACCA